GACGAACGCUGGCGGCGUGCUUAACACAUGCGAGUCGAACGGAAAGGCCCUGCUUGCAGGGUACUCGAGUGGCGAACGGGUGAGUAACACGUGGGUGAUCUGCCCUGCACUUCGGGAUAAGCCUGGGAAACUGGGUCUAAUACCGGAUAGGAGCCAUUUUUAGUGUGAUGGUUGGAAAGUUUUUUCGGUGUAGGAUGAGCUCGCGGCCUAUCAGCUUGUUGGUGGGGUAAUGGCCUACCAAGGCGGCGACGGGUAGCCGGCCUGAGAGGGUGGACGGCCACAUUGGGACUGAGAUACUGCCCAGACUCCUACGGGAGGCAGCAGUGGGGAAUAUUGCACAAUGGGCGCAAGCCUGAUGCAGCGACGCCGCGUGGGGGAUGACGGCCUUCGGGUUGUAAACUCCUUUCGCUAGGGACGAAGCUUUUUGUGACGGUACCUAGAUAAGAAGCAGCGGCUAACUACGUG
rnacentral:rRNA from 1 species